rnacentral:misc_RNA from 1 species
AUUGCACUUUUGUAUAAUAAAGCCUAUAACACAAUCAAAAUAAGUAAACUGAAUCAAACAACCAAAAUUACUGCAUAAAUCAACUGGUUCCGAGAUGCACUUUUUAUGUGUCCAAUGAAACAACCAUUACGAACCCUAUUGCAUAUGGAAGUUUCUAUAUGCAAAAUGUGUAUGUGUCCCAUAUAAAAGCCAUUAAGAGCCCACAAAACUAAGCAGCAUAGUUCAAUUAAAACCAACAAAAAGAUAACAAGGAAUAGUAAAUUCCAGAAUCCAUAACUCCAAAAUUGGAAACCCAGAA